rnacentral:rRNA from 1 species
UACGUAGGUGGCAAGCGUUACUCGGAAUUACUAGGCGUAAAGGGCAGGUAGGUGGUCUGAUAAGUCUGUUGUGAAAGCUCCCGGCUUAACUGGGAGAGGUCAACAGAAACUAUCAGGCUUGAGUGUGGGAGAGGAUACUGGAAUUCCCGGUGUAGCGGUGAAAUGCGCAGAGAUCGGGAGGAACACCAAUGGCGAAAGCAGGUAUCUGGACCACUACUGACACUCAGCUGCGAAAGCUAGGGGAGCAAACAGG